rnacentral:rRNA from 1 species
UAGGGAAUAUUGCUUAAUGGGCGAAAGCCUGAAGCAGCAACGCCGCGUGUGCGAUGAAGGCCUUCGGGUUGUAAAGCACUUUUUGAGGGGAUGAGGAAGGACAGUACCCUCAGAAUAAGCCUCGGCUAACUACGUGCCAGCAGCCGCGGUAAAACGUAGGAGGCAAGCGUUAUCCGGAUUUACUGGGCGUAAAGCGCGUGCAGGCGGCUCGAAAAGUUGGAUGUGAAAGCUCCUGGCUUAACUGGGAGAGGUCGUUCAAUACUUUCGGGCUAGAGGAUGGGAGAGGGAGGUGGAAUUCCGGGUGUAGUGGUGAAAUGCGUAGAUAUCCGGAGGAACACCAGUGGCGAAGGCGGCCUCCUGGCCCAUUUCUGACGCUCAGACGCGAAAGCUAGGGUAGCAAACGG